AACGAACGCUGGCGGCAGGCUUAACACAUGCAAGUCGAACGCAUCCUUCGGGGUGAGUGGCAGACGGGUGAGUAACGCGUGGGAACGUGCCCUUCAGUUCGGGAUAACCCAGGGAAACUUGGGCUAAUACCGGAUACGUGCGAGAGCAGAAAGAUUUAUCGCUGAAGGAUCGGCCCGCGUCUGAUUAGCUAGUUGGUGGGGUAAUGGCCCACCAAGGCGACGAUCAGUAGCUGGUCUGAGAGGAUGAUCAGCCACAUUGGGACUGAGACACGGCCCAAACUCCUACGGGAGGCAGCAGUGGGGAAUAUUGGACAAUGGGCGCAAGCCUGAUCCAGCCAUGCCGCGUGAGUGAUGAAGGCCUUAGGGUUGUAAAGCUCUUUCGUCCGGGACGAUAAUGACGGUACCGGAAGAAGAAGCCCCGGCUAACUUCGUGCCAGCCGCCGCGGUAA
rnacentral:rRNA from 1 species